CAUAGAAAUAUGAAUUUCCCCCAAUUUCCAUACUAUCCAUCUAACAAAUAGAAAAUAGUAGUAUACAGCAACUAUUCGCAGCAACGGCGGCAAUUAGAGAGGUAAACCAACAGAGAAUUGAUUUCCUCGGCGACUCCGUCCAACAGCCAGAAAAUGAGCAACGACCGGCAGAGAAUCGACCAACAAAAAUCAUAGUUCAGAACUGCUCAAUGAAAAUCAUAGUUCAGGUUUAAACUUUACACCCAAGGGUGUAGUUUACUGGUCAUGAAGUGGAUUGAAAACCAUGAGCUUCAGGUUCAAAUCCUAGGGGAGGCAAAAAUACUACUUUACUAGGUGAUUUCUUUCCAUAUGUCCAAGCCUUGGUGGACAGGGUUACUUGAUACAUGUUGUUGGUAAGAGGUAGCAGUAUCCCGUGCAAUUAGUCGAGUUGCGUGCAAGCCGACUCGGACACCACUAUUAUCCAUUUUUUUAAACUUUGAAAUAUAAUAUUAUAAGUAUGAUUUUAAGAAACUAAAAUGUUUUGUAUUGUUUCCUAGAACAUAUUGAUUUCCAUAUCCCUUUAAUGUGCCAUGUGAAUAUUUAGUCAAUGUGGACUAGUCGUGGCAAGUAGGAAUUUUAUUAAAGCUUGUUUUGUAACAACAGAGGCUGGAUUUUAA